UAUAGGAAGUAUGGAAAACAAACUAACAAUAGGAAAAAGGUAAGAUAUACUCUAAGGAGUGACAGUGUUGGGAACCUAAGAGGGAAAUCCUUCGUUCAGACUAUGCACUGAGUAAAUUCCAGUUCACUGAGCAUCAUUCACGGGCCACAUGUGCUUACAAUGUCAUUUUUCAACAAAACUUCCCUGGACCCCAGCUUAGAAGAUGUGCCUUUAAUUGUGAUCCUACAAAACCCCAACCCUCUUCUUUGUGAGAGAUCAGUAAUGUAUGAUUUAAAGAAAAGAAAAAGACAAUUGCCUCACCUCAUCGUUGGCUGAGUUUCGAUAGAAUAACAACAUUGAAAAAUAUUGCCCAUUUGAAGAACUGGGAUUCCUGAAGCACUUUUAAUUUCCAAGAGGUUGUGACAAGGAAUAAGCAGAGGGAAGUAGUGAGGAGAGCAUUUCUGCCUGAGAGGCAAGGAAGGAGGAGAAUAGUUGUGAACGGGGAGGGAACCAGUACAG